ensembl:lncRNA
AGUGACCCUCGACCCGUCCGUCCGUCGGGCUAGCGAGACCAGCCCGCCGCGGAGGAGACAGAGCAGGGAGCUACAGGAGGCCGUUCCGGGAAAACGCCACGGGCAAGCAGGAGUUGAUCAUCAGAUCUUGUAAGAAAAUUAACGGAAAAAAAUGCCUCUCGGCUCUGUGGAGUCAGACUUUCUGCGGUGGCUCCUGGACCUUUAGCAAACCUCGACUAUGGAACAGUACUUGGACUGGAGCACCAGCUCUUCCUGGGUCUUGAGUCUGCCGGCCUUGGCCUUCGCCCUUGAACUACACUAGCAGCUCUCCUGGUUCUCAGGUCUUCAGACUCCAAUGGAACUAAAUCAUCAGCCCUCCUGGGUCUCCAGCUUGCCAACUCAUCCUGCAGAUCUUGAGAUGCCGUAAUCACAUGAGCCAAUUCUUUAUAAAAGAAGUGAUGAAACUGGCCCACAGAAGAGGUCGCUGAGAUGUGUGGUCAUCAGGCUAAGGGGCUCUGGGAUGGGCAUUCCCCCACCCCAACCCCUGGCUGUCCCCUUCCUCAGUCCGAGGGAAGGGUCUCCCCUUCAACCAGCUCAGAGUUCAGCUUAGUUCUUGACUCGGGUCUCAUCUCCAGGGGCUGUGGAUCACAGUGCUGGGUCCUUGGCCGUGGUGAGUUCCAGUGCUGGAGCUAGGGCCUGGCAGGACUGAGGACGAAGUAAAGCUCUACCUCUCAGAAGUGACGGCCUCAACAAGACUUACCCUCGAAGCUGUGCUGCUGAGGACACGUGGCACAGGGGUUGCACGGUCAGCUUUUAAUGCAAUGUGCGGUGAUGCAGAUCCUGUCCCUGGACAACCUUUUUUUGAGGCGACUAUCCUGCUACCCUCUACGUUUCGGUUUGCCUUCACUGGUUCUCUAACUUUCUGAGUCUUUGUUUUAGUCAAGUGUGUAAAUAUCAGGAUCUGGUAAGAGAUGCUUCCUACUCUCCCCUCCCCUGCAGGCCCCUUCUCCUCCCCUCCCUCAAUGAAAAGUGACAGUCAGGGCUGGUGUCUGCCUGGCUUAAUAUGAAUGCUGAGACUUGUAAAAUCA